rnacentral:snRNA from 1 species
CACACUUCCAGCCCUUGGCUAAGAUCAAGUGCAUCACCUUUUCUUAACACUUUGAUAUCUGAUACAUCCUCAGCUUGAAGAUUUUAUAUUAAAUGGAUUUGGAGGGCAAGGGAAGGGGUAACAGCUUCCUCCAUUCACUCCAUGCAUCACCCUGAAUCUACAGUGCUUCCAGGUACUGCGGCAGCAUCA